rnacentral:rRNA from 1 species
UACGUAGGGGGCAAGCGUUGUCCGGAUUUAUUGGGCGUAAAGAGCGUGUAGGCGGCCUGAAAGGUCAGCUGUGAAAACUCGAGGCUCAACCUCGAGACGUCGGUUGAAACCAUCUGGCUAGAGUCCGGAAGAGGAGAGUGGAAUUCCCGGUGUAGCGGUGAAAUGCGCAGAUAUCAGGAGGAACACCUAUUGCGAAGGCAGCUCGCUGGGACGUAACUGACGCUGAGACGCGAAAGCGUGGGGAGCAAACAGG